CCGAUGGCGACCGGCGCACGGGUGAGUAACACGUAUCCAACCUGCCGAUAACUCGGGGAUAGCCUUUCGAAAGAAAGAUUAAUACCCGAUGGCAUAAUAGAACCGCAUGGUUUGAUUAUUAAAGAAUUUCGGUUAUCGAUGGGGAUGCGUUCCAUUAGGCAGUUGGUGGGGUAACGGCCCACCAAACCUUCGAUGGAUAGGGGUUCUGAGAGGAAGGUCCCCCACAUUGGAACUGAGACACGGUCCAA
rnacentral:rRNA from 1 species